GAUGAACGCUAGCGGCAGGCUUAACACAUGCAAGUCGAGGGGCAGCGAGAUCAGUGCUUGCACUGAUUGUCGGCGACCGGCGCACGGGUGCGUAACGCGUAUGCAACCUACCCAUUACAGGGGGAUAACACUGAGAAAUCGGUACUAAUACCCCAUAACAUCCAGGGAGGCAUCUUCUUGGGUUGAAAACUCCGGUGGUAAUGGAUGGGCAUGCGUUGUAUUAGUUAGUUGGUGGGGUAACGGCUCACCAAGACAACGAUACAUAGGGGGACUGAGAGGUUAACCCCCCACAUUGGUACUGAGACACGGACCAAACUCCUACGGGAGGCAGCAGUGAGGAAUAUUGGUCAAUGGACGCAAGUCUGAACCAGCCAUGCCGCGUGCAGGAAGACGGCUCUAUGAGUUGUAAACUGCUUUUGUACGAGGGUAAACGCACAUACUCGUAUCUGUCUGAAAGUAUCGUACGAAUAAGGAUCGGCUAACUCCGCGCCUGCUACCGCGGUAAUACGGAAGAUUCCAGCGUCUUCCGGAUUUUAUUGGGUUUAAAGGGUGACGUAGCCGGUCGGAUAAGUUAGAGGGUGAAAUCCCGGGGGCUCAAUUUCGGAAUUAACGUCUGAUACUGUUCGGCUAGAGAGUAGUUGCGGUAGGCGGGAAUGUAUGGUGUAGCGGUGAAAUGCUUUAGAGAUCAUACAGAACACCGGUUGCGAAGGCAGCUUACCAAGCUACUUCUGACGUUGAGGCACGAAAGCGUGGGGAGCAAACAGGAUUAGAUACCCUGGUAGUCCACGCAGUAAACGAUGAUAACUCGUUGUCGGCGAUACAGUGUCGGUGACUAAGCGAAAGCGAUAAGUUAUCCACCUGGGGAGUACGUUCGCAAGAAUGAAACUCAAAGGAAUUGACGGGGGCCCGCACAAGCGGAGGAACAUGUGGUUUAAUUCGAUGAUACGCGAGGAACCUUACCCGGGCUUGAAAGUUAGUGACGGAUCUUGAAAGAGGUCUUCCCUUCGGGGCACGAAACUAGGUGCUGCAUGGUUGUCGUCAGCUCGUGCCGUGAGGUGUCGGGUUAAGUCCCAUAACGAGCGCAACCCCUACCGUUAGUUGCCAGCAGGUCAAGCUGGGCACUCUGACGGGACUGCCGGUGUAAGCCGAGAGGAAGGUGGGGAUGACGUCAAAUCAGCACGGCCCUUACGUCCGGGGCUACACACGUGUUACAAUGGCAGGUACAGAGGGCAGCUACCCAGCGAUGGGAUGCGAAUCUCGAAAGCCUGUCUCAGUUCGGAUUGGAGGCUGAAACCCGCCUCCAUGAAGUUGGAUUCGCUAGUAAUCGCGCAUCAGCCAUGGCGCGGUGAAUACGUUCCCGGGCCUUGUACUCACCGCCCGUCA
rnacentral:rRNA from 1 species